GUACGCUGGCGGCACGCCUAACACAUGCAAGUCGAACGGAGUAGCAAUACUUAGUGGCAGACGGGUGAGUAACAUGUAGGUAUCUGCCCUUUGGCCUGGAAUAACACGAGGAAACUUGUGCUAAUACCGGAUAAGUCUUUACGGAGAAAGCUUUAUGCACCAUUGGAUGAGCCUGCACUUGAUUAGUUUGUUGGUGGGGUAAUGGCCUACCAAGACUUUGAUCAAUAGCUGAUUUGAGAGGAUGAUCAGCCACAUUGGGACUGAGACACGGCCCA
rnacentral:rRNA from 1 species